AGGGUAUAUAUACCAUGCUCAUCCACCCCACGGCGUAACAAACCUAGAAGAGUUGACUUGUAUUAUUCAAGCUGGUGCAUCCGUGCAGUGGAAUCAAAGAGAGGGAAUGGAGGGUUGACAGCCUGUGAGAUUCUCCUGUUUCACCAUGAGGACAUGGGUAUACCAUACGAGAUUGC